rnacentral:rRNA from 1 species
GACGAACGCUGGCGGCGUGCCUAACACAUGCAAGUCGAACGAAGUAAGUUGCUUCACCAAGCGCUGAACGCAGUGCCCCAAGCGCAUUUGCCAAGAGGGGGAAAUACACUACAUAAAAAGUAAAAGGUGAACAAGGAGAGAAUUAAGCAAAAGAAGCAAAUGAGCUUCACGCAAAUUCCAAGUGACAACACCAAACGAAGAAUUCAGAAUUUGGUGAAGUGACUUACUUAGUGGCGGACGGGUGAGUAACGCGUGAGCAAUCUGCCCUAUACAGAGGAAUAGCCUCGGGAAACCGGGAUUAAAACCGCAUGACACUUAUAUACCGCAUGGUAUAGAAGUCAAAUUGAAUAAGAGGUAUAGGAUGAGCUCGCGUCUGAUUAGCUAGUUGGUAGGGUAAAGGCCUACCAAGGCGACGAUCAGUAGCCGGCCUGAGAGGGUGAACGGCCACACUGGAACUGAGACACGGUCCAGACUCCUA